UAUAAACUUGAAAAGUCCUGCUCCACUUUUAUUUGGUUGAACAGUAUUAUCGGAAGAGGGAAGUCAAAAUAAUCAAGAACAGAACAACUCAAAAUACAGGAAGAGAAACACAAUGGCCAACACAUGUGAAGGCAAACACAUUCUACAUUUCAGUCUGGUUUUGCCUCUGUUUAGGUGUUGAAAGCUACCACAAUUGAUCAAACCAUGUAUUAACUAUUCAGACUGGAAGAUCUGUCAACCUCCCAUGUCAUUAUGACAAGAAAUACACAAAGCAGAAGAAAUACUGGUUCUCAGAGAUUGAUAAAUCUAGUACAUACACAAACACAACAGAGCAGAAACAGUAUUUGAUCAUCCUGAUCAGAGUCUCUUUACUGUGACUAUGAGAAACCUGCAGAACAAACACAAUGGACAUUAUUAUUGUGUUGUGGAGACUGGAGAACAACCACAGAUAAAUGCUAUUUAUGAGUCGUAUAUCAAGAUUCAAUCUGCUCCUGAUGCGUCCCUGAGAAGCAGCAAAUGUGUAUCUGGAUGUGAAGGUGGUGAUAAAAGUGUUCAGUGUCUCUGGAUAUCAGAAUAUGCUCAAACAGUGGUGCAGAAUUAAAGAUGGGAGCUGGUUCACAGUGGGGAGGACUGAAACAUCCCAGAAAUCAUCAGUCCAGAUCAGUGAUGAUGACUGGACUGAGACUGACUGAUUCUGGCUGGUACUUGAGAGGCACUGAAUCCUGUUCAUCUCACUGUAACUGAGAACCAGAAUUGAAACCGUGAUUUUCAAGAAACCUAAUAAUGAAACAAAAGACACAGAGGAGCCACAAAAGUACUACACAUGUAUUGUUAUAAUAAAAUAUUUAAGGCUUAGAAUCCAAUUCUAAAACCUUUGAAAUACAUUUAACAAAAGGGCUUUCCACGCUUGAAAUAUUUAAUCAUGAUUCAUUAAACACUGGACGAUCUGAAUCAUUUGUUAUCUUGUAAGACACUUUAUAAUUUAUUCAUGAUUAAAGUCACCAUGAAACGUAAGUAGCAAUUAUCUGUUUUUCUUUACUGUGACGUCUAUCAGAGUGAAAUGGCAUCUGAAAUGAGAGGGCAGGGCUUGAUUUCAUCCAUUGGGAACUGAUUGGAUCGUUUGAAGUUGGGGUGUUGCUAACAAAAUGGAGGCAGAUCUGAAUGCCAGGUUGCAGUAAGUUGUCUGGGGAUUUCUCUCUUCUGGAUUCACAGCUGACAACCUUGAUAAACAUAACAGAGAACGAGACACUGCCUGAAUGACUGAGCGCAUCCUCCAUCAGGCUAAAGGG